rnacentral:lncRNA from 1 species
UUUAUCUUCUCCGGGAGGCUCGUUAGCGCCUUGGCGAAGUAUGAGGUGGGUCGGGAAGACGACUUCCUUCAAGGCUGUCGCGAGUUGGGCUACGGGGUCUCCACAAGGUUCUGGUGAAAGCCGCCUACCACAACCCUGGCCUUGACCUGACCAAGGCUCUAUCCAAGCUGUCGAAAUACUUCGACACCAGCGACCUCGACGCACUUGUCGCUCCCAUGUCCAACAAAGAUGGUUGCGUGACCCUGAACCGUUUAGCUCUUGUCCCUACAGCAUCCGCGCCAAAGACAUUUCCUAGGAUUAAUAUCGCGAACUUGUUGUUAUCUGUAACGCACUUUAGUCCACCAAUACAGGUGCCUCCUUCCUUUCAACGCAAU